rnacentral:piRNA from 1 species
UAGAUCCCUGCCUUAUCCCAAGGACA